rnacentral:rRNA from 1 species
UGCAGAAUCCCGUGAACCAUCGAGUCUUUGAACGCAAGUUGCGCCCGAAGCCAUCCGGCCAAGGGCACGUCUGCCUGGGCGUCA